GAUGAACGCUGGCGGCGUGCCUAAUACAUGCAAGUCGAGCGAACGGACGAGAAGCUUGCUUUUCUGAUGUUAGCGGCGGACGGGUGAGUAACACGUGGAUAACCUACCUAUAAGACUGGGAUAACUUCGGGAAACCGGAGCUAAUACCGGAUAAUAUUUUGAACCGCAUGGUUCAAAAGUGAAAGACGGUCUUGCUGUCACUUAUAGAUGGAUCCGCGCUGCAUUAGCUAGUUGGUAAGGUAACGGCUUACCAAGGCAACGAUGCAUAGCCGACCUGAGAGGGUGAUCGGCCACACUGGAACUGAGACACGGUCCAGACUCCUAUGGGAGGCAGCAGUAGGGAAUCUUCCGCAAUGGGCGAAAGCCUGACGGAGCAACGCCGCGUGAGUGAUGAAGGUCUUCGGAUCGUAAAACUCUGUUAUUAGGGAAGAACAUAUGUGUAAGUAACUGUGCACAUCUUGACGGUACCUAAUCAGAAAGCCACGGCUAACUACGUGCCAGCAGCCGCGGUAAUACGUAGGUGGCAAGCGUUAUCCGGAAUUAUUGGGCGUAAAGCGCGCGUAGGCGGUUUUUUAAGUCUGAUGUGAAAGCCCACGGCUCAACCGUGGAGGGUCAUUGGAAACUGGAAAACUUGAGUGCAGAAGAGGAAAGUGGAAUUCCAUGUGUAGCGGUGAAAUGCGCAGAGAUAUGGAGGAACACCAGUGGCGAAGGCGACUUUCUGGUCUGUAACUGACGCUGAUGUGCGAAAGCGUGGGGAUCAAACAGGAUUAGAUACCCUGGUAGUCCACGCCGUAAACGAUGAGUGCUAAGUGUUAGGGGGUUUCCGCCCCUUAGUGCUGCAGCUAACGCAUUAAGCACUCCGCCUGGGGAGUACGACCGCAAGGUUGAAACUCAAAGGAAUUGACGGGGACCCGCACAAGCGGUGGAGCAUGUGGUUUAAUUCGAAGCAACGCGAAGAACCUUACCAAAUCUUGACAUCCUUUGACAACUCUAGAGAUAGAGCCUUCCCCUUCGGGGGACAAAGUGACAGGUGGUGCAUGGUUGUCGUCAGCUCGUGUCGUGAGAUGUUGGGUUAAGUCCCGCAACGAGCGCAACCCUUAAGCUUAGUUGCCAUCAUUAAGUUGGGCACUCUAAGUUGACUGCCGGUGACAAACCGGAGGAAGGUGGGGAUGACGUCAAAUCAUCAUGCCCCUUAUGAUUUGGGCUACACACGUGCUACAAUGGACAAUACAAAGGGCAGCGAAACCGCGAGGUCAAGCAAAUCCCAUAAAGUUGUUCUCAGUUCGGAUUGUAGUCUGCAACUCGACUACAUGAAGCUGGAAUCGCUAGUAAUCGUAGAUCAGCAUGCUACGGUGAAUACGUUCCCGGGUCU
rnacentral:rRNA from 1 species